CCGUUUGCACGCCAUUUGCCAGCCCGAGGCCUGGUUUCAGGUGGUGGAUAGUACCCAGAUUGGAAUGAUCUAAGCACCAGUUGAAAUCAGAGCCUCUGGCGUUGGUCAGUCACAGCCGGACAU
rnacentral:precursor_RNA from 8 species